rnacentral:rRNA from 1 species
UACAGAGGGGGCAAGCGUUGUUCGGAAUUACUGGGCGUAAAGGGCGCGUAGGCGGUGUGUCAAGUCAGGCGUGAAAGCCCCGGGCUCAACCUGGGAACAGCGCUUGAGACUGGCACGCUCGAGUUCGGGAGAGGAUGGUGGAAUUCCCAGUGUAGAGGUGAAAUUCGUAGAUAUUGGGAAGAACACCGAUGGCGAAGGCAGCCAUCUGGACCGACACUGACGCUGAGGCGCGAAAGCCAGGGGAGCAAACGGG